rnacentral:lncRNA from 1 species
ACGAUUGCAGGGUAUUAACUUUUCUAAGAUUUCCCUGAAAAUUUCCAAUGGUUUUUUUUUUUUUUUUUUUACCAAAUAGGGAAAAAUGUGGCCUCUGUUAUUUUCUUUGCUAUUCAUGUAUUUAUUGUGUAGAACUCUUGAUUAAAUGAUAAUGACAUGUAUUUUUGGACUGUUUGUUUUACCAGAAGCGUUUCUAGGGAGUUAGUAAUAAUUAACACAGUUCCCUCCAAAAGCAGCAGAAUGGUGCUGCUUCAGCAGAUCACUUUAUAGAUUGAGGCAGCUUUUUGUUAAAAGUGCUGCUUUUCCUGUUCUGGAAGCAUGGAUGAUCAAGUUUUUAGUGUAAGCCUCUAGUCCACAUUUUAGAGUGCAUAAAUAGUCUACCUUGCUUAUUGAAAUGGAAACUGUCUCAUUGUGACUUACACACGUAUGGGUGGGCGUCUGCUUUUUUAAAGAGACUCUUCAGGUGACCCUGAUAGAUAAGGUGGGGAGCCAGACUUGAAGGUCCUCUGGUCUAGGUCCCGAGAAAGAUAGGGAGCCCUUCUUCACACUGAGAAUGUCAGUAAUCUGAGAGUCAGUAGAGGGUUAGGGCCAGUCAGUGUAGAGAUUGCCAGGCAGGCCUGUCCCUUGUCAGUCUGCAGGUACUGUUUGAACUCACUCUUAUGCAUUAAGAAGUUUCUUGUAGCAGAGAGAUAAGGAAACCACAUGCUGAAGUUAACUUUUAUGACAUUUUAUGUACCACCAGCCACAUCCUUGUGUUUUGAAAAAGGCAUUUUCAUUUUAAGGAUAAAAUAAAAGUAAAAUCUUUCAAGACCUUGAAAGAAAAGUCAUAAAAUCUUUCUUAGAGAAUCUACCAAAAAUGUGUGGAAUGUUCUGUUGGAAGCUGUUCAUACUACGUGCCAGCCAACUUUGGAGUUCCUUGAAUGCAGGUUGAUCUAUUUAUUUGUUUAAUUAGUUCUCUGAGGUCAGGUGGGAGUAGCACUUAAGAGGUCUAUCUUCGUCAUUUGAACAGGUGGGACCUUGUGCCUCACUCAGUUUCCUCAAUGGUUGUUAUUAUUACUCUGAAUCUCCUUCAAUGAUCAGUAUUUGACAUGUAAUUGAUGUUCAGUUGUUCUUUAUUAGUUAUUUGGGAUUAAAAUUAAUCCUGAAGGCUGGUGGUCUGUAGUGGUUGAGGAUUGGCCCUUGUCACUGCUGUGGUGCAGGUUCAACCCCUGGCCGAGGAACUCCACUUGCUUCCAGUCAGUGUGAGGAUGGGGGUGUGAUGAUGACAACUAGGAUUUCCCAUUGUGGCUCAGCGGUCACAAAUUGACUAGCAUCCACGAGGACACAGGUUCGAUCUCUGGCCUUGCUCAGUGGGUUAAGGAUCCAGUGUUGCCCUCAGCUGUGGUGUAGGUUGCAGAUGUGGCUCAGAUCCUGAGUUGCUGUGGCUGUGGUACAGGCCGGUGGCUAUGUUUGACCCCUAGCCUAGGAACCUCCGUAUGCUGCUGGUAUGGUCCUAAACAAAACAAAACAAAACAAAAACAACCACGAUUAUUUAUGGUCAAGUUUUUUUUAAACCCAUCUUUCUUUAUCAGUUAACGCAUGUUUCAGAAAUGCACAGGGUCAUGCAGCACUCUAUUAUGGAGUCUAUGGGAUGCCUUAUACAUUGUCUUAUAAUUAUCAACUGUUUAUGGUAAAUGGGCUACUACUUUGAUUGCAGCGUGAUUGUUACUACAGUCACCAAGUGUUUCAGUCCUCAGUAGGUCUGCUUCAGUGGUUCUCAGCAGGAGGGGGUGAGGAGGGAGGAUGAAGAUGAUUUGAAUGUUGGUCUGCCAGAAUUCUUGCCACUGUUAAAUCCAUGUGGUUCCCUGGUAGUUGCAGGUAAAGCCAGUAGUGCUGUUUUUUGAAGGAGAUUGACAGGAGGGUGAUUUAAGUCACUAGAGUGAAAGCUCCUUAUGUUUUGGAAAAAUUCUGGAUAGUUGUUUUAAAACUACUCAGAAGUGGUAGAACAUUUUAAUUGCUGUGCUGAAAAUAACAGAAGUAUAGAGUACAUAAAAUUCACAUUUUAUGUAACAUUGGAGAUGGAAUGCUUACUUGGCAUAUCUAAGUGUUAGUCUUAGAAGUAGACAGUGGUAUUCUGUAGAGGGCUACUUAGACUUUUCAGGGGAAUAUCUAAUGGGACCUCAAUGUUGGAAUUAUCUGAUUGCUUUUAAUUUAUAUAUAUAUAUAUAAAUAUAAUAUAUGUAUACAUUUAAAGGUUUAUUGUGGGGCCAGGCAAGGAGAAUGGGUGGCUUGUGUUCAGAAACCCCUAACUCUUGGUUUUAAUUUAACCCCCCCCCUUUUUUUUUUUUUUUUUGGGGAAAAGUGCUAAGUAAGACUUGAAUGAUAUUUUUGACCAGUUCAGAGUAUGGUUUCAAAUACAGUAAUUUUAUCAGAAAAUAAAAUGAAGCUCUUGCUGAGAAUGGUUGAACAUAAUUUACCAAAAUUAGGUAUUUGUUUUUCUUGGAGCUUGAAUGUAACCCUGUAAGUAGAUGCUACAAAACCACUUCAGUCACCAAGGAAAAUGGAUCUCUUGCUGUUCUUUGCCUCAGUGGUCUUCAUUUUACAGUUUAGUUAAAUCUCAUCAUCAGUAAUGGUUUUGUUUUUCAUAGGGAUAAGUUGACUCUGGACUUUUUAAGAUCUAGCCUGUUUCAUAGAUAAAUUUCCAUUUCACAAAUCAUAAUGGAGGAUGCCUGUAUUUAGUUGUGUUUGCUCACAUUUACUAUUAUCAAUGGAGUACAGUGAAAACUUUAUAUAGCUAAAUUCCCUUUUGGGGAAUUUCCAGAUCCACAGGGAAAGAUGAGAUAGAUAUGUACAGUGAAGAACUUUUAAAAGCUCUGUUUGUGAAGUUCAAAGAAAUAAAUACAUGCCUUCUCUUAUUAGUUGAGGAGGAGCAGAGCCUUUGUGAAUAGCAUAAAGGAAAUUUCUAGGAUGAUGGUGGGCCACCUCUAGCAUAGAAUAUAGCCAUUUAAAAAUGUUUGGUUUAAGGAGUUCCUGUCGUGGCGCAGCAGAAAUGAAUCUGACUAGGAACCAUGAGGUUUUGGGUUCAAUCCCCGGCCUUGCUCAGUGGGUUGAGUGUUUCCCUGAGUUGUGAUGUAGGUCACAGAUGUGGCUCAGAUCCUGCAUUGCAGUGGCCGGCAGCUGUAGCUCUGAUUCAACCCCUAGCU